GAAAAGCGCUCACCCCUCACCUCCAACACCAACUUCAUCCGCCCACUGCCGCACGAACCCACCUGUUUACAGAAAAAAGAAACGGUGAUGAUGACGAAUUUGAAGGGAUGCUCUAAGCUGCCAGCUGUAGGGAUUUUUUAUUUUCUGAAUUCGAAAAUCUGAAUUUGAUUUACUCUCUCUCUCUCUGAAUCCAUCUCAUUCUGAUUCACAAAAUAAAAGAUCCCUUUAGCAGACGGUUUAGUUCGCAACUAAAGGCCUCGUCUUGAUUUCUUCUCUUGAUCUUCUUCAUCGCUCCUAACCACAAUAUCUGGCACCUCGAAGGGAAGAGAAAACGUUAUCGAGACAAUCUGUUGAUCUUAAUCGACAAACAAAGCCACGAACGCAACCCACUCGAUCUCUUCCUCGCUCACGAUUCCAAAAGUUUACCAAUAUUUGAGAUUGCAAACAUACUAAUGCAUCGUAAUCUUCUGAUGGAAAUUAUGCAAAAGCAGUCGCAGACUCGCAUUGAAAUAUGUACUCUUGGAUGGUUGGCUUCUGAAGGAAUAUGAAAUUGUGAAAUCCGUUGAAACAGGGGAGCAUUUGAUGCUUCUUCUUAUUGGCAUAAAAUAUAUUAAAUUUUGUUUAAAUUGAUUCAAAUCUAAAUUUAAAGUUUAAAAUUUAUAUUUGAAAACGCAACGUCAGAAUUAAAUUUUCGAGGAACAGAUCAACAAAUUUACUGGGAAAUUCUAGUGGGUGCUUGGACGAAGCCUUGGAAUUUGGGAACAAUCCAGUUCAUACAUCCUAGGCAAGUUCUCACUCAAUACUCAUGUAUCCAUGUUUUCAUCAUUAUUCGCUCUGUUUUUUUUUUUUUUUUUUUGUAUUUUUCAUCAAAGCUAUUUUUUUUUUUUUGUUUCAUCUUCUGUGAAUUUUUUACUCAUUAGAUUAUUGUUAUUUUGAUUUGUUUCUUUGUAACUUCCUGAGUAUCUGUCUUAUAUUGGAUCAUGCAGCAAUAUGUGGGAUCUGGGUGUUGUGGCAGGCACUGAUCAAUAUCAAAAGGUUAAUGAGACUAGCAAGUAGUUUAUGUUUAUUGAUUUAAGAAAUAUACUUGGAUGAUCUUCAACAAAAUUUAAUAUAAUUUUAUAUUAUAUUUUAUGUAAAUUCAAUACAACUUCAAAUUUAAGAUCUCUCCAAACAUUUGGCGAUUGUUUUGUGAAAGGUUUAGAACCCAUCAAUAACAAGAUGUUAUAUUAAUGUUCGGGAUCAAUAAAAGGUUGUGCAGUUUGCAUUAUUGAAA